GGGGCAGCAAUGGUUUCGACAAACUUAUUUUAAUUCUAGAUGGCAAGUAGUCUUAAUGACUUAAAUCUUUAAAUUAAAAUUAAAUGACGAAACUUAUAGUUUCAACACUCCUGUUUUUGCCUAAUUAAAGGUAUGGAGGCUUCUUUCUAGUUUUAUCUAUAGGCUAGUUAGGGGUUCAUAGAUAUAGAUUAUAUUAUUUUAAUUGAUUAGGUUAGAAUAAUGAAUUUUUACUAAUCUAGUUAUGAAAUCGGUAAGUUAAAGCCAGUUUUAUAAUGAAAUUUAAAUAUUAACUAAACUUGUAGAGGUUUAGGGUUAUGAAGCUUGGACAGGAGUUCGAUUCUCCUCUGCUCCACCA
rfam:Coprobacillus sp. CAG:605 genomic scaffold, scf72